rnacentral:rRNA from 1 species
UGGAGCUGAAAUCAGUCGAAGAUACCAGCUGGCUGCAACUGUUUAUUAAAAACACAGCACUGUGCAAACACGAAAGUGGACGUAUACGGUGUGACGCCUGCCCGGUGCCGGAAGGUUAAUUGAUGGGGUCAGCGCAAGCGAAGCUCUUGAUCGAAGCCCCGGUAAACGGCGGCCGUAACUAUAACGGUCCUAAGGUAGCGAAAUUCCUUGUCGGGUAAGUUCCGACCUGCACGAAUGGCGUAAUGAUGGCCAGGCUGUCUCCACCCGAGACUCAGUGAAAUUGAACUCGCUGUGAAGAUGCAGUGUACCCGCGGCAAGACGGAAAGACCCCGUGAACCUUUACUAUAGCUUGACACUGAACAUUGAGCCUUGAUGUGUAGGAUAGGUGGGAGGCUUAGAAGUGUGGACGCCAGUCUGCAUGGAGCCGACCUUGAAAUACCACCCUUUAAUGUUUGAUGUUCUAACGUUGACCCGUAAUCCGGGUUGCGGACAGUGUCUGGUGGGUAGUUUGACUGGGGCGGUCUCCUCCUAAAGAGUAACGGAGGAGCACGAAGGUUGGCUAAUCCUGGUCGGACAUCAGGAGGUUAGUGCAAUGGCAUAAGCCAGCUUGACUGCGAGCGUGACGGCGCGAGCAGGUGCGAAAGCAGGUCAUAGUGAUCCGGUGGUUCUGAAUGGAAGGGCCAUCGCUCAACGGAUAAAAGGUACUCCGGGGAUAACAGGCUGAUACCGCCCAAGAGUUCAUAUCGACGGCGGUGUUUGGCACCUCGAUGUCGGCUCAUCACAUCCUGGGGCUGAAGUAGGUCCCAAGGGUAUGGCUGUUCGCCAUUUAAAGUGGUACGCGAGCUGGGUUUAGAACGUCGUGAGACAGUUCGGUCCCUAUCUGCCGUGGGCGCUGGAGAACUGAGGGGGGCUGCUCCUAGUACGAGAGGACCGGAGUGGACGCAUCACUGGUGUUCGGGUUGUCAUGCCAAUGGCACUGCCCGGUAGCUAAAUGCGGAAGAGAUAAGUGCUGAAAGCAUCUAAGCACGAAACUUGCCCCGAGAUGAGUUCUUCCUGACCCUUUAAGGGUCCUGAAGGAACGUUGAAGACGACGACGUUGAUAGGCCGGGUGUGUAAGCGCAGCGAUGCGUUGAGCUAACCGGUACUAAUGAACCGUGAGGCUUAACCU